rnacentral:lncRNA from 10 species
AAAUUAUGUUCCUCUGACCCUCCUCGCUCUGCACAGAGCUUCAUCUUCUGGAACAGAUCCACCAAACGAGAGCCAGAAGAUGCAGCAGCCCAGGUCUAAUUUGUAUGCAGAGACCCUGGUCAGACAGGCAAAAUAUCUUUGUCCAAAAAACCUCAGAAUUGAAUAUCCAAACCCCUAUCUAGUUAGUGUGCUUCUUAGAAUACAAAUAGAAUUACAAAAUGUUUCAGUAAUCAAAAAGGGACAGCAUCGGCAAACAGUUGACAUCAAAAUUGUCUGCUCAUCAAAGAGGAAUGACAGAUCCUCCUUCAUCAACAUGUUUUCCUUAGGAAUGGUGCCAGGAUGCAGGGCAUAAGUGAGAGGACAGUUCCCUUGGUUAUGAGGUAACUAAAAAUAGCCACCUUUGAAAGCCAUCAGAGGUCACUUGUUUUGAAGAAAAUCAUCAGAAGAACUUUGAACUAUAAGAUAUUGACUAUUAAAUCAUGUUAUUUUCUUCAUUUGUCAAAGUUAUUGGGAUGUAGCAAAUACUUGAGACUUUGAAUUGAGUAGAUUUUGAGUAGAUUUAUGAAUGAAAUCAAAGGACACACAAAAACAGUGUAAUUCACCCAUCUGGAGACUCCACGUAUGAGUUUGAAAACUUUUAGUAUGUAUGCCAAUUAGUCCAUCCAGCCAAAUAGGCACAACAAUUUUCCGAUAAUAAGAAAAAUAAGACCAAGAAGCUAGCUGGAAUACUAAGAAAAACAACAGAGGGAGUUAAAUUCUUCAUUAAAAUUGACCACUUCUAGAGGCCUUGCAGGAAAUAUUAAAAUAAGUUCUUCAAUGAGAAUGAAAAUGAUAUAGGUCAGAAACUUGGAUCUGCAUGAAGAUACACCUUAAAAAAGGAAGAGCAUCAGAAAAAUGAAUAAGUGAAGGUCAAGUGCUGUGCUGUACUGAUUGAUAGAUUGUCUCCAGCAGGAAGUUUGACAAUGGACAACCUAGAAGCAGAUGUGCCUGAUAAAUGUAAAUGGUAGCUUCUUUGUGGCCCUUCCACCAGAAGUGAAGAAGCCUGGUGCAGAGCUUCUACUUGACCUAUGAUAGAUAUGCUGCUGGAGAAGAAAUCAACCUCCUGGUUCCCACCCAUAUCUUGCUCUGGUUAGUCACAAUCAGAAUCUUCACAACCACAAUCAGAAUCUUCCCACAGCCCUACCUGCAACACCUGCUUGUCUCUGCCAUUACAAUAUAAGCCUGAGGACCUCAACAGAUGCACCUGCCCAAUCUUAAACUUUCCAGCAAUCUGAAUUGUGAGCCAAAUAAUUUUUUUAUAAAUUAUCCAGCUUCAAGUAUUAUACCAACAAAAAAAAGGAAAUGCAAUGAGUCAAUAUACUUACUGAGAUUGCAGAAGAGACUGAACACUGCGCUAGGCUCUGAAGAGAAAGAUGAAAAAGAAGAAAGUGCUCCUGAGUAUAUGACUACUUGUACUUGCUAGCACUGAGGCAAGUACAAACUCUAGGCAUCAGGCUUUUGGUCUCACUCUUAGCGAAUUUGAACACUGGCUUUUUUGUUGGGCUUCCAUUCUUCUCUCAGCGCAAGAAUACCAACGUUUAUGACCCAGGAAGCACCAACUUAUACUUCACAGAGCUAAGAAACAGCAUUUCGCCAUGUCACGCAGGCUGGUCUUCAACUCCUGGACUCAAGCUAUCCACGGGCCUCGGCCUCCCAAAGUGCUAGGAUUACAGGCAUGAGCCACUAUGUCCGGCUUGGAGUUUUUAGUCUCAUCAAACCAACUCACCCAAAUGUCCCUUGGUGACAAAAAGUUUUCUGAAAGAUUAAGUAAUCUUUGUUUCCCAAGCCUGACAAAAUAAAAAGUUUUCUGUCUCUCUCUUUCUCUUUUGCACUGUUUCUCUUUAAGUCUUGUUAGAAUACAGAACUGUAGACAUUUAGACAGAGCCAGGGUCAUUGUCUUGACUGGCCCACUGACCAGAUUAGUAAUUCUUAAACUAGGGUCCCUAGACCAGCACCACAGGCAUCUGUGGGCUUGUUAGAAAUGCACAUCCUUGGACCACUGAAUCAGAUAUUUUGAGAGUGGGCUCAAUAAUCUCUGUUUUGAGAAGACCCCCAAGUAAACCUGAUGCACAGUAAUUGUUGAGAAACACUGAAUAAAUUGUAUACCAUUAGCCUGUUUUUAAAAAUCAUCUGAGCCAUUCCUUUAUUAUAUGAGAUGACCAUUAAAAUCUCACUCAGUUUUAUCAUAUAAUGAAACAUUUGGUGAUAGCAUAAAACUCUAUUUUGAUGGCUCAGUUUUUAUGAUUUCCUUUGAUAUAAUUGUUUCCUUAAGAAGGUGCCAGUUUUGAAAAGGAAACUGUUUUGUUCCCUUUUGUACAGCACAAGCUAAGGAUCUAUGAUGGAAUGAUAAUUAAUCUGUAAACUAUAAUUAUGUUGUCGAUUCUGGCUGUAUAUGGGGCAUACCUGAUUCAUCUGCUACUUGAUGUCCUGCAUGACCAUCACCAGACACCAAGCAGCAGAACAAGACCAUGGACCACAGAGUCCUGGAAAUGUCUACCUCCUGAGCUGAGCCACCACCAGGAAUGGUGUCAGUAAAUGCAUGAGCACCAGAGUAUUUUGAAUGAAAGGAAAAAAGUGCAAUUCAGGAUAUGACUCCCUACCCCAGCCUACUAGCAGAUCCCAAAUGUUGUCAUAAUCCAGUAAAAUAUAACACUACCAAGUUGUGAGGCACUGAGAAACCAUUGCAGGUGAUAGCCAACUGUGUGUUCCCAACUCUGAGCAGUUCUGCCUGUCAGAAUCUUCCCAUCUCAGUCCCCACCCACCUCUUCAGCCUCAUGUUUCCUCAAGCCUUUCUUCAGAUUGACCACACUUCACUUCUGUGUCUACGAGGAUUUGCCUUGUCACUAAAAUUGUUAUGUUACAAUAGGGCCCCAUAUCCAUUAGGUAAUUGGCUUUGUCAUCACCUUCACUUCUAGUUACUUUCUUGGAAUGUUAAAUGAAACAUUCUUGCCUUAAUAGUAACAUCAGUUCCUACAUAUCUUCCUUGUGUGUGUUUGGUUGGCUGAUUGUCACUUUCUACUCUGAAUGUUGAAUCAGACUGCCACUUUCUACUCUGAAUGUUGAAUCACCUUCUUGCUCUGCCCUCUACUUGCAUUUUCUUGUCUACUUACCUGUCCACUUAUCUUUUGAUCUUUUUGCCUCCCCUUCUUUGGGCAUCCCUGUCCUUCAGCUUGCCUGGAUAUGACUUCUAGCCUUGUGUGAUCUUGGAUAUGUGUGCGUAGCCCAAAGUUAUACCAUUCAACAGACUCCAAUGUCAUUAAAGGGAUCUUGUUCCACCAUGUAUUUUUCUGCCUUUUCCCCUAAAUUACCAAAAUUUUUGGCCUGUUAACAUUUCUGUCUCUGUAUACAGAUCAUAGUCCUUUAAUGUACUUUACUACAUGCAGAAAUUCUAUUGAUUUGGAUUCAAGUCUUUCAUAUUUGGCAUUGCUUUGCAAUUCACUUGCUCUUUUAUAGACCCAUUUUGACAGUUCUCAAGAAGGCUGGUGAAACAAGCCUGGCUGUGAUUUGGGCUGCAAUUCUUUCUUUCUCUCCGUGAGAAAUCUUUGUAGCACUGUAGUCAAAGCUGCAUACAGAAUUGUCUGACCAGCUGCUGUCCAUGGAUAGAGCCAAGGCACCAGGCUGACCUCAUACCUAAGAAGCAGUUAUUCAGAAGUUGUACAUGAUUAUCAAAGAUGGAAUUUAUCUCUACCUAGGGCUAAAAGUUUAGGCAGUUCUGUACUGAUUACUUUUUUCAGUCACAUCAAACUCAUCCUCAUACAGAAUAAAAUAAAAUAAGUUUUUCGUGUGCCUGUCUUGCUUUGGGAAAUGAAGAAAUGAGAGUAAGUAUCAUCUUGUUUAUGAAGAGCAAAUACUAUGAUUAAAAAUCAAGAUUAAAAACCUCACACUGUUCAGGACAACUGGAUCACAAGAAUAUUUUGGUUUCAAGUAUCACUGAAUUUUAUUAAUCUCUCUAAGAAAACUUUAUACAAAUAAUAAUUAAGCCUUGGAUUUGCUGAAUGGAUGUUGGAAAAUAGUAAGGUAAAGAGAGGCCAGCAAUCUCUUUUGAACUACUAGCCUUCUGGACCAGUGUGACUCUGCCUUUGAUGAGGAGUACAGGAGGAGGAGAAAGACUUUUAAGAAGAUUGAGCACUUGUCAUAAAACAAGACUGCUAGGGACAUACAUAGCAUGGUUGAAAAAAUGACUUUUGGAGUCUCACUAUGGUCUGUACUAGCGCUAACAACAAAUGAAAAUACAAUGUGGGCCAAUUUGUAAUGUUUAAUGUUCUAAUAGCCACAUUAAUAUAUGUGAAUAAUCUGAUAAAAUUAAUUUCAACAAUAUAUUUUAUUUACCCAAAUAUGGAUGAAAUUAUUAUCCAACAUAUAAUCAAUGUAAAAUGUUUUUAAUGAAAUACUUUCAUUUAAAAAAAUUUGAACUAAGUUUUUGAAAUCCAGUAUGCAUUUUAAACUUGCAGCACAUCUCAGUUCAGACUAACUAUAACUCAAGUACUCAAUAGCACCUGUAGCCAGGGGCUCCCCUAUUGAACAGUGUAAUUUUGGUCCCAUAGCAUCCUCCAUUGACCAAGCAAUGAAGAAAAAAGUCCAACUAUGGUCCAGGAAAAAUAUCCAGUGCUGGCUGUGUCUAUAUUCUAAUAGUGAAUGCAUAGGUCAUCAUACAUAGUACAUGAUAAGCACUAGGAAUUGGGAAGACAAUAGUUAACGUCAUAUCUCUAUUUUGCAAUAGAACUCUAUAAACAGACAUCUUGAUGUUACAAAUUUUCUAUGUGGUUGAUGAUGUAGUUAAGUUAGGAAAAGUAGAGCCAAGCCGUGCCUCCAGAGAUAAGUCUUUUAGUUAACUUGAUCCUCUGGAAAAACAUUCUCUAUGAUGAAAGCUCAAAUGGUUCUUGCCCAUGUCUAAUACAUUGUGAGGUUUGGCUCUAUGUCCCCACCCAAUCUCAUGUUGAAUUGUAAUCCCCAUGUAUUGGAGGAAGGGCCUGGUGGGAGGUGAUUGGAUCAUGGGAGCGGAUUUCCCCCUUGCUGUUCUUGUGAUGGUCAGUGAGUUCUCAUGAGAUCUGAUGGUUUAAAAAUGUGUAGCACUUCCCUGUUUGCUCCCUCACUCUCCUGCAACCAUGUGAAGAAUGUGCCUUGCUUUCCCUUUGCCUUCUGCCAUGAUUGUAAGUUUCCUCAGGCUUCCCAGCCAUGCUUCCUGUUAAGCCUAUGGAACUGUGACUCAAUUAAACCUCUUUUC